rnacentral:rRNA from 1 species
UGCAAGUCGAGCGCACCCUUCGGGGCGAGCGGCGGACGGGUUAGUAACGCGUGGGAAUGUACCCUUCUCUAUGGAAUAGCCUCGGGAAACUGAGAGUAAUACCAUAUACGCCCUUCGGGGGAAAGAUUUAUCGGAGAAGGAUCAGCCCGCGUAAGAUUAGAUAGUUGGUGGGGUAAUGGCCUACCAAGUCUACGAUCUUUAGCUGGUUUUAGAGGAUGAUCAGCAACACUGGGACUGAGACACGGCCCAGACUCCUACGGGAGGCAGCAGUGGGGAAUCUUAGACAAUGGGCGCAAGCCUGAUCUAGCCAUGCCGCGUGUGUGAUGAAGGCCUUAGGGUCGUAAAGCACUUUCGCCAGGGAUGAUAAUGACAGUACCUGGUAAAGAAACCCCGGCUAACUCCGUGCCAGCAGCCGCGGUAAUACGGAGGGGGUUAGCGUUGUUCGGAAUUACUGGGCGUAAAGCGCACGUAGGCGGAUCAGAAAGUUGGGGGUGAAAUCCCAGGGCUCAACCCUGGAACUGCCUCCAAAACUCCUGGUCUUGAGUUCGAGAGAGGUGAGUGGAAUUCCGAGUGUAGAGGUGAAAUUCU